rnacentral:rRNA from 1 species
CCUACGGGAGGCAGCAGUGGGGAAUAUUGGACAAUGGGCGAACGCCUGAUCCAGCCAUGCCGCGUGUGUGAAGAAGGCCUUCGGGUUGUAAAGCACUUUCAGUGGGGAAGAAAGCCUUGGGGCUAAUACCCUCGAGGAAGGACAUCACCCACAGAAGAAGCACCGGCUAACUCCGUGCCAGCAGCCGCGGUAAUACGGAGGGUGCGAGCGUUAAUCGGAAUUACUGGGCGUAAAGCGCGCGUAGGCGGUCUGAUAAGCCGGUUGUGAAAGCCCCGGGCUCAACCUGGGAACGGCAUCCGGAACUGUCAGGAUAGAGUGCAGGAGAGGAAGGUAGAAUUCCCGGUGUAGCGGUGAAAUGCGUAGAGAUCGGGAGGAAUACCAGUGGCGAAGGCGGCCUUCUGGACUGACACUGACGCUGAGGUGCGAAAGCGUGGGUAGCAAACAGGAUUAGAUACCCUAGUAGUC